rnacentral:rRNA from 1 species
AUUGAACGCUGGCGGCAUGCCUUACACAUGCAAGUCGAACGGUAACAGGUUAAGCUGACGAGUGGCGAACGGGUGAGUAAUGUAUCGGAACGUGCCCAGUCGUGGGGAGUAACUGCUCGAAGAAGCAGCUAAUACCGCAUACGACCUGAGGGUGGAAAGCGGGGGAGUCGCAAGACCUCGCGCGAUUGGAGCGGCCGGAUAUCAGAUUAGGUAGUUGGUGGGGUAAAGGCCUCCAAGCCGCGAUCUGUAGCUGGUCUGAGAGGACGGACCAGCCACACUGGGACGUGAGACACGGCCCAGACUCCUACGGGAGGGCAGCAGUGGGGGAAGUUUUUGGUACAAUGGGCGGCAAAGCCUGAUCCAGCCAUGCCGCGUGCGGGAAGAAGGCCUU